GGGCCGCACGCGCGCUACACUGACGGAGCCAGCGAGUACAUCCUUAACCGAGAGGUUUGGGUAAUCUUGUGAAACUCCGUCGUGCUGGGGAUAGAGCAUUGCAAUUAUUGCUCUUCAACGAGGAAUUCCUAGUAAGCGCAAGUCAUCAGCUUGCGUUGAUUACGUCCC
rnacentral:rRNA from 1 species